UCUAACGAUCCAUAUUGAUUCACUAAUUCCUAUCGCGUGACCUCUUUUCAUUUUCUAUCUCACGAGAACUCCUUGCAUUCUUUGUUGCCCUAUUUCUCUUCUCAUCUCAAUGUCUCGCGAUGUCUGUGUUUUCCCUGUUCGCUAAGUCGUCGUCGUUGCUUAAUCUGAGACACCAUCGUCUAGUUCGUUUUGUUAUCGUCAACGCCUAGCCUAAGACGCCAUCACCCAAUUUGCUAGGUCGUUGCCGUCUCCCCAUUCUAAGAUGCCACCGUCUGUGUGUAGAUUUUAAGGAGUGGAAGCUUGAUCUUGAUUGGAACAAAUAGGCAAAAUGGAAGACAUGUAUUUGGUUUGCCUCUCACGUUUUGGGCAUUGCAAAAAGAAGUAAAGUUCAGCACAAGCUCAAGACGAUAAAAGACUUUGAUGAAGACUGAUACAAUUCCAACCACUAUGCCUAAACUGGGAGGGAUAGCUGCAAAUUAGUUAGGAGUUAGGAGAGUAGUGUUCUUAUGGUUGCAUAUUUAUGUUUAUCUUUUAUGGUUAAGCAAUGUAGUAACAAAUUGUGCAAUUGAUAUAGGUGUUGGAGGUAUAUUCUGUAGGGGCAUUGGUGAAUUUUGCAACCUCGAUCUUUAAUUUGGUUUCUCAGUUCGACGAUUUCAAUUAUUGUAAAUGUUGUACAUAGCUUUGGUUCCCAAUUAAUAAAAUUUGACUUUGUUAUGGUUUCAGUUA